rnacentral:rRNA from 1 species
UACGUAGGGUGCUAGCGUUAUCCGGAUUUAUUGGGUUUAAAAGGUGCGUAGGCGGCUUUUUAAGUCAGCGGUGAAAUUUUGCAGCUUAACUGUAACAGUGCCGUUGAUACUGGGGAGCUAGGAUUUGGUUGCUGUGGGUGGAAUGUGUGGUGUAGCGGUGAAAUGCUUAGAGAUCACACAGAAUAUCGAUUGCGAAGGCAGCUCACAAAGCCAAGAUUGACGCUGAGGCACGAAAGUGUGGGGAUCAAACAGGAUUAGAUA